GUGCUCACUUUGGCAGCACAUAUACUAAAAUUGGAACAAUACAGAGAUUAGUAUGUACUCUGCACAGGGAUGACACUCAAAUUCGUGAAGCAUUCCAUAUUUUU
ensembl:snRNA U6 U6 spliceosomal RNA